GCUUGUCUCAAAGAUUAAGCCAUGCAUGUCUAAGUGUAAAUAAGUCUAUACUGUGAAACUGCGAAUGGCUCAUUAAAUCAGUUAUCGUUUAUUUGAUAGUCCCUUACUACUUGGAUAACCGUAGUAACUCUAGAGCUAAUACAUGCGCAAAUUCCCGACUGUCGCAAGGCGGAAAGGAUGUAUUUAUUAGAUCCAACCAGCCCGGUUCGCCGGAGUCCCUGGUGAGUCAUAAUAACUGAGCGAAUCGCAUGGCCUUGUGCCGGCGAUGGUUCAUUCAAGUUUCUGCCCUAUCAACUUUCGAUGGUACGGUAUUGGCCUACCAUGGUUACCACGGGUAACGGGGAAUUAGGGUUCGGUUCCGGAGAGGGGGCCUGAGAAAUGGCCACCACAUCCAAGGAAGGCAGCAGG
rnacentral:rRNA from 1 species